AACCAUCAACCUCCUCGUGGGGCUUGGACUUUGGAGCGUGCUGGCCUGAGGUCGGCUCCUCUUUAAGUGCAUCAGCGGAAAGCCAUCGAUGUUUCCCGUCGGCGUGAUAAUCCUGUUGCGCUGCUAGGUCACGUCAGGGUCCGCUUAUAAUGGUCUUCGGACAAACAUCUG
rnacentral:misc_RNA from 1 species